rnacentral:rRNA from 1 species
UGAGAGUCCUGAAGGAACGUUGAAGACGACGACGUUGAUAGGCCGGGUGUGUAAGCGCAGCKAUKCGUUGAGCUAACCGGUACUAA